rnacentral:lncRNA from 10 species
ACUUCUCUGCUGGUCCCUGCCUGUGUAAACACCAUGACUCUGGGUUCUGCUCAGCAGACUGAAGGGAACACAACUAUGAUGAUUCUCUAUGCUGUACUUGGAGAAGGCUGGUUAGUCAUAAGUUUUAAAGCAGGUUUUUAGAUCAAAAAGAAUUGUACUCAAGGAAUUGAAGCUAUGGAGCCUCUGCCACAUCUGGACCUGAUUUUGAUGACAAGAUCCUGUACCUCAAGCCCGAGACUAAUUUCAUAAUUUGAUGAAUCUUUUUGGAGAGUCAUGGGAGGAAUGUAAACAAUUUGUGGCCAAAGGAGAAUUAUGGUAGUUUGAAGAUGUGGAUACAAAUUAUUUGACAUUCUUCUCAUAGAAAGGUAACUCCAUAGCUGGGAGCCAAGUCUCGAAGCCCCAUGAGGGGAAGUGGAUACAUCUCAGAAUUGGGUUUCCUGAUACACACGACUGCAUCCUUCAUCUGCCAGGCCCUGGCAUUGUUUACUGGAGAAGAUGUCAUAGGAAAUUGGGCUAUGUCAUUGAGCCACUGGAGUCACACAUGAACAGCCAUUUGGAGAUUCUGGAAUUGAUGGUUCAGAUGAAGACAUGGAAGCAUAAGAAAUUGCCAAUAUUCACUUUGGGAGACCGAGACGGGCAGAUCACCUGAGGUCAGGAGUUCGAGACCAGCCUGGCUAAUAAGGUAAAACCCCAUUUCUACUAAAAAUACAAAACAAAAAAAUUAGCUGGGCGUGGUGGCACAUGCCUGUAAUCCCAGCUACUCGGGAGGCUGAGGCAGGAGAAUGGUGUGAACCCGGGAGGCAGAGCUUGCAGUGAGCCGA